AUGCCCCGCUUCCAGGAAAAGCCUCUAAGCUUCAGGUUACCAACAAUCGUACCCCAAACCGACACAGGUGGUCAGGUAGAGAAUACUCAGGCGCUUGAGAGAACUCGGGUGAAGGAACUAGGCAAAAUGGUGCCGUAACUUCGGGAGAAGGCACGCUGGCGGUAGGUAAAGUCCCUCGCGGACGGCGCUGAAGCCAGUCGAAGAUACCAGCUGGCUGCAACUGUUUAUUAAAAACACAGCACUGUGCAAACACGAAAGUGGACGUAUACGGUGUGACGCCUGCCCGGUGCUGGAAGGUUAAUUGAUGGGGUUAGCGUAAGCGAAGCUCCUGAUCGAAGCCCCAGUAAACGGCGGCCGUAACUAUAACGGUCCUAAGGUAGCGAAAUUCCUUGUCGGGUAAGUUCCGACCUGCACGAAUGGCGUAAUGAUGGCCAGGCUGUCUCCACCCGAGACUCAGUGAAAUUGAACUCGCUGUGAAGAUGCAGUGUACCCGCGGCAAGACGGAAAGACCCCGUGAACCUUUACUAUAGCUUGACACUGAACAUUGAGCCUUGAUGUGUAGGAUAGGUGGGAGGCUUUGAAGUGUGGACGCCAGUCUGCAUGGAGCCAACCUUGAAAUACCACCCUUUAACGUUUGAUGUUCUAACCUAGGCCCAUAAACUGGGUCGGGGACCGUGUCUGGUGGGUAGUUUGACUGGGGCGGUCUCCUCCUAAAGAGUAACGGAGGAGCACGAAGGUUGGCUAAGCAUGGUCGGACAUCAUGCGGUUAGUGCAAAGGCAUAAGCCAGCUUGACUGCGAGAGUGACGGCUCGAGCAGGUACGAAAGUAGGUCUUAGUGAUCCGGUGGUUCUGAAUGGAAGGGCCAUCGCUCAACGGAUAAAAGGUACUCCGGGGAUAACAGGCUGAUACCGCCCAAGAGUUCAUAUCGACGGCGGUGUUUGGCACCUCGAUGUCGGCUCAUCACAUCCUGGGGCUGAAGUAGGUCCCAAGGGUAUGGCUGUUCGCCAUUUAAAGUGGUACGCGAGCUGGGUUUAGAACGUCGUGAGACAGUUCGGUCCCUAUCUGCCGUGGGCGUUGGAAGAUUGAGAGGGGUUGCUCCUAGUACGAGAGGACCGGAGUGAACGCACCACUGGUGUUCGGGUUGUCAUGCCAAUGGCAUUGCCCGGUAGCUAAGUGCGGAAGAGAUAACCGCUGAAAGCAUCUAAGCGGGAAACUUGCCUCGAGAUGAGUCUUCCCUGUCGCUUUAAGCGACCUAAAGGAACGUUUAAGACUAAGACGUUGAUAGGCUGGGUGUGUAAGCGUAGCGAUACGUUGAGCUAACCAGUACUAAUGAACCGUGAGGCUUAACCUG
rnacentral:rRNA from 1 species